rnacentral:rRNA from 1 species
GACGAACGCUGGCGGCGUGCUUAACACAUGCAAGUCGAACGAAGUGGCGAACGGGUGAGUAACGCGUAAUCAACCUGCCCUUCAGAGGGGGACAACAGUUGGAAACGAAUGCUAAUAACGCAUACUGAAGGAGGGGAUUGCGUCUGUUUAGCUAGUUGGAGGGGUAACGGCCGACCAAGGCGAUGAUGGGUAGCCGGCCUGAGGUGGUGAUCGCCCACAAGGGGACUGAGACACGGCCCUUACUCCUACCGGGGGCAGCAGUGGGGAAUAUUGUACAACGGACCAAACUCUGAUCCAGCACUUCUGUGUGCACGAUGAAGUUUUUCGGACUGCAAAGUGCUUUCAGUUGGGAAGCGGUACCAACAGAAGAAGUGACGGCUAAAUACGUGCCAGCAGCCGCGGUAAUAC